rnacentral:rRNA from 1 species
AGUGAACGCUGGCGGUAGGCCUAACACAUGCAAGUCGAACGGCAGCACAGUAAGAGCUUGCUCUUACGGGUGGCGAGUGGCGGACGGGUGAGGAAUACAUCGGAGUCUACUUUUUCGUGGGGGAUAACGUAGGGAAACUUACGCUAUUACCGCAUACGACCUACGGGUGAAAGCAGGGGAUCUUCGGACCUUGCGCGAUUGAAUGAGCCGAUGUCGGAUUAGCUAGUUGGCGGGGUAAAGGCCCACCAAGGCGACGAUCCGUAGCUGGUCUGAGAGGAUGAUCAGCCACACUGGAACUGAGACACGGUCCAGACUCCUACGGGAGGCAGCAGUGGGGAAUAUUGGACAAUGGGCGCAAGCCUGAUCCAGCCAUACCGCGUGGGUGAAGAAGGCCUUCGGGUUGUAAAGCCCUUUUGUUGGGAAAGAAAAGCAGCAGGUUAAUACCCCGCUGUUCUGACGGUACCCAAAGAAUAAGCACCGGCUAACUUCGUG